rnacentral:rRNA from 1 species
UACGAAGGGGGCUAGCGUUGCUCGGAAUUACUGGGCGUAAAGCGCACGUAGGCGGCUUUCUAAGUCGGGGGUGAAAUCCUGGAGCUCAACUCCAGAACUGCCUUCGAUACUGGAGAGCUAGAAUCUUGGAGAGGCGAGUGGAAUUCCGGAGUGUAGAGGUGAAAUUCGUAGAUAUUCGGAAGAACACAGUGGCGAAGGCGACUCGCUGGACAAGUAUUGACGCUGAGGUGCGAAAGCGUGGGGAGCAAACAG